AAAAAAAAAAAAAAAGACGAGGGGAACAAAUUAAGUAAUGAAGAAUUACCAUUUACUCAUUUCUUUUCUUCAUUCUCCUGAUCCGAAUAUCCUUCUCUGUAACAGAUUGUAUGAUACUAAAAACGGGUAAAUAGAGAAGAAAAGGAAAAAUAAAAGAUGAACACGAACAAAAUGCAGAAUCAAUUGAUCUCAUCCAUUCAAAAACUAAUCUUAGACACGCAAAAUGUAAAUUUUUACGUAGAAUUAUCCAAAGAAAAAACAAAUUAUGUUAAUCUGUAUGCUAUUCUUACAGUAAAGAGUUUUAUUGAUAUUAGUAAAUCGGACCCUUACAAAAAAAGCAGAAGGGAAUUUCGAGUGGUUAUAUCACAAUAUUAUAUUUGAUCUCCAAAAUUUAAAAUCGGAGAAAAAAAGAAGAAAAGCAAAAGACCAAAAUUUCAUGGCUCAUCUUCAAUGACUGAAGCCAAACCCGUCACGAUCUUAACCCCAAUCUGAAAACUUUUGGGCUUAAUCUCAGGUGGUUUCCAUUCUCGCACCACCGUCUCGUUCUCUUCUUCCUCGGAACUUUCAGAUGACAAAGCAAAGACAGACUCGCCCAACUCAGUAUCCUCCAACGAGUUCUCCUCUUUGCCGCUCGGUGGAAAAUUGUUGAUCCCUUUUGGAACCAAAGUUUGCUCCUUUUGAGGUUUGGGACCGGUUUUGUCUGAGGAAAGAGGCGGUGUAGCUCGCAAAUAAGGAGAAAGCCAUUUAGCUUCGACAUACUCGGCUUUUCUCCAAGGUGGAAUGUGCAUACCCUUCUUCUUGAGGCUCUGCUUGGCUGCAUUUGAUACGACGGAGAUGAUCUUCUGGAGACGACCGGCUUUGCCCACAAAGAUGUGGGGAAUAGAUUGAAGAAGAGAUUUGUAGGCCUUGGUUGAUCGAGCAAUUUCAAAUUCUGAUCUGAAAUCAAUGUCAAUUAGCAGUCUCUCGCCUGAGAUGAUCACGUCUAUGUACUCAUACUCACCUGCAUCAGCAAUUAAAUUUACCAUUUCUCAGGAUUUAUUGUAAACAUAGCAUGUGUUAGACUACAGAUUGAUAUGUAAUUCCCUCACUCAAAUCCUCAAUCGUAAACAAACGGUGAAAAAAAUGAUAAUUUUCAAAAUUGAAACUUUCAAAUGUUCUCCAGAAAAAUAAAAAUUACUCCUCCGCAGAAUUGAAAUUUGCAAGUCGUAUAAGAGGGAGGUUGAUUUUUUUUAAUAAUUCUUAUUUUAAUUAUUAUUGUCUUUGAUUAAAUUCCUAGUUCUUGCUUGCUUCCGGCAACCAACAGAACAGAUAGAUACUUUUCCAAAUUGAGAGAGAGACGCGGCUUAAGCGAGAGAAAGUACCGGCGGGAUGGGUGGGGGAUUUUUCCCAACGAGAUUUGCAGAUUGAAACGUCGUAUCCAAGAGCCUGCAAUCCAUCAGUAACGAUCCUCAUGGAAAAAUCGUCUUUGCGCUUGCAGAUCUUGUUCUUAUCAACGAUCCCCGCAGUGUCCGCUAGCAAAUUCCUCUCAGAAACACUUGCACAAGGGACCAAACUCUUUAGAAUUUCAAUUCCUUCGCUGGAAGAAACAAAAUUAGAGUCACCAAAACCAUCAAAAGCUUCGAAUUCGUCUUCCGAGCUGUCAUUACAUUUCCCGUUGAAGCAGUUGCAGCGACUGCGGCCGCACCUCACUGCCGUGGACGAUUGCUUCUCGUUGCUCUCCUCGAUGAAGUUCUGUACCAUCUUCGCCAAGCACAGUGAGCUAGGCUCAAACUCAGUCGAGCCAUUAGCGCCGUCCUUAUGGAAAUGCGGCUCAACAACGAUGCCGACCUUUUCAGUGGCGGAAUUUCUCAGGAAUUGGAGCUCAAAGAGCCUCUUGAGACGCGAUUUCACCACUAGCUUUGCUGGCUCCAAUCUAGUCGACUCUUCAUGGGUGUGUGAAUCGAUUGGCUGGAUCUUCAUCUGAAAAGGCAUGAUCAGCGCGAUCAAGACCACGAGAAAUGCUUGAACCCACCACCGAUGUCAACAGAGUAUUAUCAUAAUUUCUCCUCCAUUUUCAAAAAUCUUAAUCACGAUCAAUAGCUCCUAAUCUACCAAAGCUCAACAGACUCUAUACUAAUUAUUUUCUCAGCUCUUCGUCUUGAGUACAAAAAUUGACGAAGAAGAAAAGGAAUUACGUAAAAGAAAAUCCAACAAGGUUAGUUACAAGUUUAAACCCUACAAAUCAAUCGAAACAACCACAAAUGAUGCACCAGACUCAUCAAUAACCCCACAAAAUGAGAUCAGCAAAUCGAAUCGACACAGAAAUUCAGAAUUUUGCCAAAGAUAAAGUGCGCCGAACAAAAUUCGAGACUCUUGAUGCUGAAACAGCUACUCUACACCUCCGAUUAUUAUAUACUAUUUAGCCUCUGAUACGCGAGACAAAGCAUGGAAUAACUUCUAAACUCUGCUAAGUAAAGUCGCUUUUGCUUAGGGUUUCUACAUACGGUUAAAGUUCCGAUUUACGCGACGGUAAGAUAACGUCACGCUUCCAUCUUCGUAAUUUAAACCACAAUCUAUAGCACGGACCAUCAUUUCUCCGGCAAAGGGCUUGAAAUCUCAGAUGAGAUUAUCGCCGGCGACGGACAAGAAAAGCAAAACUAAAAACCAGAGAAAGAGAGUGAGAGAGUGAGAGAAGGGGGGAUGAAAUAGGAACUUUAGUCGUGUAGUAAUUUGGGUUGUG
rnacentral:misc_RNA from 1 species